rnacentral:rRNA from 1 species
UACGAAGGGGGCUAGCGUUGCUCGGAAUGACUGGGCGUAAAGGGCGCGUAGGCGGUUUGUACAGUCAGGUGUGAAAUUCCCGGGCUCAACCUGGGGGCUGCACUUGAUACGUAGGAACUUGAGUGGGGAAGAGGGUCGUGGAAUUCCCAGUGUAGAGGUGAAAUUCGUAGAUAUUGGGAAGAACACCGGUGGCGAAGGCGGCGAGCUGGUCCAUUACUGACGCUGAGGCGCGACAGCGUGGGGAGCAAACAGG